UGAGGCUGCCACCUUCAUUAGUCCUGGGCCUGCCAUCUUCAUCAGUCCUGGCCCUGCCUGCCACCUUCAUCAUCUCUGGCUCUGCCUGCCACUUUCAUCACUCCUGGGGUUUCCUGCCACCUUCAUCAGCCCUGGGCCUGCCUGUCUCCUUCAUCAGCUCUGGGGCUGCCUGCCACUUUCUUCAGCCCUGGCCCUGCCUGACACCUUCACCAGCCCUGGGGCUUCCUGACACCAUCAUCAUUCCUGGGGCUUCCUGCUGCCUUCAUCAGCCCUGGCUCUGCCACCUCCAUCAUCUCUGGGCCUGCCAUCUUCACCAGCCCUGGCUCUGCCACCUCCAUCAUCUCUGGGCCUGCCACCUUCUCCAGCCUCCCAAUGGCUGCUGUGGGUGAGCCAGCCUGAGCUAACCUGGGGGCAGUAGGAAGCCAUGAGAUCCUUGAGAAGAAAAGCCAAAUAUGAGCACUUUGCUUUCUUGCAGAUGCCAGCUUCAUCCUGAAAGAGCCCUGGGGCAGUGGGAGAGCUCUGCUGGCUCUUGUUCACCUGUGGUUAUUUCUCAUCCCCCAAGGCCUCUGUCUGCAGGAAGGCUCACGAGUGCUGCUGUGCCCAUACCAGCUGUGUUUGGUUUCUCCCUGCUCCUGUUUUCUCCACAGCACUUUGCUGCUGCCUGGCUGUGUCUUGUACAUGCAUACAAGCCAAAAGUGACCUUCAGUGUCUCACUGCUCCUGGAGCACAGGUGGAGGAGUUGGAGUGGAGCUAAUGGCCAUUUCUAGCAUCCCUGCAUGUUCCUCUUCUCUCAAAAUUUAAGGGACGUAUUUUAUUUCCCUGGAGCAAGGAGACCAGCGUAGCUCUUUUACACAUGAAGGAGGAAUGCCAGGGCUGGAUUAUUGGAGGUCUUAGAAACAAAAUGGGAUAGAUUAAAUGGCCACAAAGAGCUGCUAAAUAAGGAGUUGCCUUAAGAACCAUUGUCAAAGCAUUUGAAUAACCACAACAGUCCAGGAGCUCCAGCUUUAUGCAUAAGGAAGCCAAAAAAGGCAUUGGACCACCUGGGACCCCAUGUGUGAACCCUAUCCCUGUGCUUUGGUGCAGAUUUGGAGACUGUUGUCAUCUCAGCCUGCACAAGGAGCAGGGAAGACACAGAAACAUCUGUUUGGAGUUUUAAGCAGCUUGUUAGAUGAAUUCAGCACCUGGGUUUCCUGCAGUGAGUCAGAUCUCGUCUGCGCAGUACGGAUGAGAAAUGGAGAAACACAACACUCCCUGGGAUCCCUGUUCUCCUGGCUCCUGGUAGAUUGCUCAAGGAUCUCUCUGGUUUUGGUGACCACAACACAGCCAAAUGGAAACCUCAGUUUGCUGGGAGCUCCUGGCCAGGCUGUGAAAGCAGCACAAGGGACUUGGCUCUGGAUAGGAGGUGCAGAGCAGCUGCAUGAUGACAAGUCACUUCUGCUUGGCACCCGUGCCCACCUGCCCUGGGAUGAGUUUUCCACUGGUCUCUCUUCUGAGCAGUCUUCAGAGUUCUGA